rnacentral:rRNA from 1 species
CCAAUAGCGUAUAUUAAAGUUGUUGCAGUUAAAAAGCUCGUAGUUGAAUCUCGGGAUCAAUAUGUCGGUCGUGCCUCCGGUACGUACUGGCGUUAUUGGUUUCUCCCUUCUGACGAACCACGAUGUCAUUAAUUUGGUGUUAUGGGGAAUCAGGACUGUUACUUUGAAAAAAUUAGAGUGUUUAAAGCAGGCCCACGCUUUAAUACAUUAGCAUGGAAUAAUGAAAUAGAACGUUUGAUUCUAUUUUGUUGGUUUCUAGGAUCGACGUAAUGAUUAACAGGGAUAGUUGGGGGCAUUAGUGUUAAAUUGUCAGAGGUGAAAUUCUUGGAUUUAUUGAAGACUAACUACUGCGAAAGCAUUUGCCAAGGAUGUUUUCAUUAAUCAAGAACGAAAGUUAGGGGAUCGAAGACGAUCAGAUACCGUCGUAGUCUUAACCAUAAACUAUGCCGACUAGGGAUCGGAUGAUGUUAAUUUUUUAAUGACUCAUUCGGCGCCUUACG